rnacentral:misc_RNA from 1 species
AGCCGGGCUAGGCGGUUAGGGGAGUGGAAGGCUACCGAGAGGGCGUCAGGAGGGCGACCGCGACAGGUCACAGCGACAGAUCACGUGCCGUGGAUUCCCGCGCCGUAGAUUCCCGUGCCAUUCUUCUGCUGGCAAGGACGGCCAUGGCCAACUACUACGGGACUCGAUCCUCACUCGACUUGCAAGUACAGAUGCACAUGUCAAUGUUCCACCUAAAAAGCACAUCAUAAGGCAGCAACCUGGGCCUUGGCGGAUUGUGGGGCUCCUGGGCGCUUGGUAUGGGCAGUGUUGUUGCGGAAACGUUUGUUUUGCGCCAAGAGCUGGAGACUGAGUAUUCUUGUGGCGACGGUGAAAGAGUGCUGUCGUGCCCCGACUUGGUUUGUAUGUUACAACUACGUCCCAGUGGUGUACAGUGUGUACAUACGGCGUACUUAACUGACCCACUUGCACUGUCCAACUUCUGAGGUCCUUCUGAGGUCUUUCUGCUGACCAACUUCAAUGACUUCAAUGACUUCAAUGACUUCUGACUUCCGACUUCUGACUUCCGACUUCUGACUUCCGACUUCUGACUUCCGACUUCUGACUUCUGACUUCUACAGACGUACAUUGUUGACCCAAGCCGUGUCUCACAGUUGGGUUCGCUGAGGACGCUUAGAUCGCGCUGCUUAUUCUUGCGUCGACGCCCGUCAUUCUACAGAGAUAGACUCACGGUUCACGUGUUGUCGGCCACUUUCAAGGGGUAGCAACCUAAAGAAGGCGGAUUUUGCAGUUAUCCAGCAUGACCAGAAGCGAUUGCGUUCCCCAUUUGGCAGUCUUGGACGGAGGUGGAGCGGUGGCUUGGACCGUCAUGGCUACAACAUGUCAAAGCUCUCGCUAAACUCGACACGACCAACAAGGCCGUCAGUUAGACCAAGUCUAUGUCCAACAAGAAUGUCUCUACUCUGCGGACACGUGCCUGCAUACAUGGUUUUCUCCUUGUACGCGACGGAAAGGCGAUGGGCACGGCAGCGAUAUUAUGGCACGCGACUAAGACAUGUGGACGCCAGAUAGACAGGACCGAUAGGAGCCUGUGGUUGGCAACCGAGCGCCUCUGAAGAUGCUUUUCACUCCUGGUCCUGGCCGCCGUUGCUCAGAGCCCGGCUAAAUCCCUCAUCUCUCGCUCGCUUCUUUUGAGGUCUGGCUGUAUGAUUACCCACUCUCCAUUGUGUAAUUAUAGCUACAGACCGUGGAGAUAGCAGCCAUGGAGAUACCCCCGAGCCCGCGGAAGUUACAGUUGUGAUUGAAUGACCAAAAGGAGCAAAGAUAUAGAACGUUUGGGUUGUCUCUACCGCGCGGGUACAUCUCCCAUGCCUGUCCUGGUCACACACAAUCACAUGCUCAGCUAUUGGACAGAAAUGCUCGACAUUUCUGAAUGGAUGAACAUGGAACCUGUGGGCAUCGCUUGAAUCGCCAUAGCCGGGGCUUUGCAAUGAUAUUCUUUGCUUGCUAUCUCGACCCACACUCAACUACCGAUACCGCCCUCAACCACCCGUCUCCGCGGAUCGACAGGAAACGCGCCCCGGUGCACAUCCUCUGUAAAUCAGAGACAAUUCGCGUUCAAGACACGUGUUAGUAAGCGAUUGAGAUGGUGCACACCUCAAGGAGCACAAGCAUGGGGCCGCAUCAGAUCGUCCGUGGACUCAGAGCAAUCUUACUGGAGGAUCUACACGAGCAACGCGUUGACACAAGAGUUAUAGCAGAAGAGCUAUACAUUCAAUAACAACAUUGGCUCCAGACUCGGAAGGCCCUGGAGAAAAAAGAUUGUCCUCGGUAUGUUUCACUUUCCAAAAGAGGGCAAAUUCCAACCUAAGCUGGUAAUGUCUUACUCUCGACGUAGACGCAACAUUACAUCGGGCAUCUUUGGAUGAUUGCAGGUGCUUUGUGAGAUUUUCCGGUGUCUGAGGAGAGACUUCUCCAGACACUCCGUUGAUCCGUGACCAACUAACACUAACUAGAUUGUUGAGUAUUUGGAAAUGAUUAGUAGGCUUUGAGGGGAUAGUCCUUUUUCUGCCAAAUGUCACGUCUAAAGCUCCAAAAAAACCACAGUUGAUUCUAGGAGCUCGACGCGGUCAGUAUGAUACCAAAUAUGACAUAUUUCCAGCAUGAUUACCCGCCCAUCCACUCCACUUUCUCUUCUCCACGCCGACUGAACAGUAUCAAUUAAGUUUCGGGUAUCUCGGCAAGAACCCGUAUUCCAGAGCCGCAUGGAGUGGGUUUAUAAGCAGUGGAUUAGCACAGUCCUACGUCUCGUGGCAUAGGGGAUCUUAAAUACGGAUAUCAGCACCUACGCUUCUCUACCGCCUCCGUCAUGUUGUGUUGAAAGCUCAUUCCCGUUCGGGAUUACUGAUCCUGCAAAGUGUAGGAGAUGGCUACAAAUGACAAUUGAAGAGAUCCUGAGCUUCACAAGAAGGCAUGAGAGUCUCCCUUUUGUCUUUAAAUGUCCUAAUCAUGACUUCUUCGUGCUACAUUGACUGUACUGGGCCGGUCCCACGUUUACCAUCCUCUGUGCAGUGUCUGACGAGCAAUGUGAAGUACAAUUGUGAUUAUAACGGACGCCAGGACCAAGGAGAUCACUGAUAACUCUCCAUCUUGCAACCACUGCCUCCUUUUACUUGCAACACACAGUUGCACAGAACAAUGUAACGGUCAGUGUUGAACAAAAGCAAUUCUGAGACAUGUCUUGUCAACAGUGACGUGAAGGUGCGCCAGGAAGAGAUGCUAGUUAGUUACAAGUGCUAGCUCUUAAUAAUCAGAAUCAAUAAACUGUAUAACUCCUGG